AUCCAUCUGUUUGCCUUUCUCCAUAGGGGGAGGGUGAUACAGCUGCUCCUGAUCCUCAGGAGCAGCUGGUAUUCGGUGUGCUGGGUUAGUAAGGGAGAGUUUUCUGGGAGUUGUGUUCCCUAAGAUUAUGUGUGGACUCAGCUGCUGGGUGGAAAGCUCUGCUGGAGGAAAAUACAGUUAUUUCCUACGCCCCAGAAGGAUGUUUCUGGUGCAAGACCCUUUGCAUUUUGUCCCUUUUCUUCUUCCCUUUUUGCAAUUUUCCCCACCUGAACUUCCUCCCCUUGAAAUCCCAAUAUCAACAUGGUCAAGCUGGGAAAGGGGAGCUGGAAUAGAGCCUGGAUUCUGGUAGGGAUAUAGCACUGGGCACCAGAAUAAUUGUCCUGAGUGUUUUGGACUAGUCCUGCUGAGCGGGGAGCUGGUUCCUGAUGAACCCUGAGAGCACCCUUGCUCAGAUCAUCUGAGAAACUUGUUGCAUUUUGGGGAUCUUUUCCCGAGGUUUCCUCCCCACUGUAGGAGCUUGUGGGCUCUGGUCCCACUUUGCCACCUCAUGCAAUGAGGGAGGGGGAAGAAAUCUCAGCCUGCCCCUCACCUUCAUCCACUUCCCUGCUUCCUCUCUUCACUUCCCCCCCCUGUGCAGCCGAAAUGCAGCCCCUGAGAGAAGAAAGGGCUGUGGGGUGGAUUUGCACAUGUGGCAGAGCAUGGCCCAGGCUGUGACUCCACAGGCACAGCAGGUCAUGGGGAUGGAGGUGGGAAACCCUGGUGAGAUUUAACAUCUUGCAAGGAGAAGUCUGGAGAGCACUGCAGGCAGAGGGGCGGUUGUUGGAUCAAGGAACACCAGAGCCUGGGAUAGAUAACAGGAAAGAAAUCACCUCCAGGAUAUAGGAAAAGUGGCCAAACACAUCCUGGCCUCAAAGUCCCUUGACUAACAGGGUGGGCUGGUGUGUGCAGAUGGUUGCUCCAGCUUUUCAUGAGGCUGGAGGGAGGGAUGUGGUGGCUUUCAGGCCCCAGGGAUGAGAGUUCUUCUCCUUUUGGCACUGAGCAGCAGGAGGUUGGGAACAUCCUGAGUGCAGCAAGACCCUGUGUGUGUGCACUGACCCCCUCCAGGGAGGCAAAGCCCUGGGGUGUGGGUGGAUAACCAGCUGUAGGAGCAUAAUUCCUGUGGCUUGUUAACAUCAACAUUACUCAGUGCAGCACAUACCCCACGCAUGACAAACCAGCAGGAUUAGGGAACCUUGGGAUUAGCGAAUUGUCACCGAGCUGAGACUCAAAAUGUGCUUUUUGGGUUCCCAGAGACAGCCCUGUGUUUGGAGAAGCCCAUCUGUUCGCGUGCGGUCCCUUUCCAUGAAGGGGAAUGUGGACCUCCCAGUGUCCCAAGCCCAUGGCUGCUGCUCGAGUGGAAAGUUACCCCAACAGCUCCUGAAGCCAGAUGAAUUUCAGGAUAUGAACAGCAUCUGUGAUAGGAAUCAAGCAAAGGAUGCUCAGAGCCCCCUGCAGUGGCUCAUCACCGAAAAAGAGGAGGGGGGGAAAAAAAAAGCGCAAAAAUGCCUAUUUAUAUGCCCUCCAACUGAGAUGCCACCAGCACUUUGCAGCCCAGAGUGGGCUUUCAGAUCUGCUUUUCCUUCCUUAUUUUCCAAAGAGCUCGGAGGUUCUCCUGGGCUGAUCCAGCCAAGAGGCAGGCAAGGAGGUGGAUGUGGAUGGAGCCAGAGCUGUACCAGGAUCCCCUCCCUGCCCUGCCUGCACCCACCUGCCCCCACACACAUCCUUGGGGGGUUCAGGUGCUCUGAGUAUCGCAGGUGUGUUCCAACUUGCUCCAUGGUGCCAGAGCUGUAGGAAAGAGGCUGAGGGUGGUCUCCUUUAGUGCAGAAGAGGCCAAAAGUCCCAGUAUGGAGUGCAGCUGGAUUUAUCCAGGGGAAAUAACUGAGCUGGAGUACCAUCCUUGUCCCCACUGAGUGUGGGGUUGUGAUGCUCCUACCCAGGGGCAGGGAAGGAAAUCAACCACCAGCUGCCCCCUCCUGAUAAAAAUACACAGAAUUAAUAAUAAUUAAUUCUCCCUGGGCAGCUUCACCCCUGAGAACCUUCACACCAGGCUCCCUCACCUUUCUCCUCUGUUAUCAGGGAUUAACGCAAACCUACAGAGGGAGGAAAAAUACCCCUCUGCUUUUCACUUUUUCCUUUAGAAAGAGCGAGACGGAGGUGUUACCCUCAUGCCUUGGGGAAACUGAGGCAUGAACAAAGCAGGAGUGAGUUCCUGAGAGCAGAGAAGGCUUUGGGCAGGGGAAAAAAAACGACAGAAAUGGAUUUCAGACCUCAGCAGGACUCAAGACUCAGGGCAGCUGUGGGAUCUCCAAGCCCAGGACAAUCCCUGCUCCGUUUGUCCUUCAUCCAGCUCAGAGGUGGCUCCUGCACCCUGUUAAAGAAAUUGGGAUUAUUGAGGAUCCCCCCUAUUACCUGUGGAUGCUUCUAAUUAGCCAGCAGCAGCAGAGCCGUGUGUUUUCCCAAGCCUGACUCCAGGCAGCCCCAGAGGGAGCUGGCACAGCACUGCCCGGGCAGAUGGGCAAGGACGUGUUCCCACUAAUCUGCCCCAAUCUGGAUUAUUUUUCCAAAUAAACUUGCUUUCCCAGCUGUUUUA